rnacentral:rRNA from 1 species
GACGAACGCUGGCGGCGUGCUUAACACAUGCAAGUCGAACGCUGAAGCUCAGCUUUUGUUGGGUGGAUGAGUGGCGAACGGGUGAGUAACACGUGAGUAACCUGCCCCCUUCUUUGGGAUAACGCCCGGAAACGGGUGCUAAUACUGGAUAUUCACUGGUCUUCGCAUGGGGGUUGGUGGAAAGGGUUUUUCUGGUGGGGGAUGGGCUCGCGGCCUAUCAGCUUGUUGGUGGGGUGAUGGCCUACCAAGGCUUUGACGGAUAGCCGGCCUGAGAGGGUGACCGGUCACAUUGGGACUGAGAUACGGCCCAGACUCCUACGGGAGGCAGCAGUGGGGAAUAUUGCACAAUGGGCGCAAGCCUGAUGCAGCGACGCCGCGUGAGGGAUGGAGGCCGUCGGGUUGUGAACCUCUUUCGCUCAUGGUCAAGCCGCAACAAUGGUUGUGGUGAGGGUAGUGGGUAAAGAAGCGCCGGCUAACUACGUG